UUUUGGGCCCUGUGCGACAGUGUGCUGUGAAAUCCGCCAGGUUCGGAAGGAAGCAACGGUAAACAGAUACACUGUGUGCCGCAGGAUUACCUGAGAGCC
rnacentral:SRP_RNA from 1 species